rnacentral:misc_RNA from 1 species
GGAAAAGGAGGAUCCAACAAAGUAUUUAGUAGAACUUGGCUUGGGAUUAUAUAUAAUAUAAUACUAGGUUUUGCCCGCACAUUGUGCAAGUAUAAUCACUAUUGGUUAUAUUAUUUAAUUGAACAAAGAUAUGAUUAAUGUAUUUCAUUAAAUAUCUGACAAGUCUAGCAUCAUUUAAAUGUCACUAGCUGCAUGCCAUCAAUUGAUGUUAUAAAAUUGUU